GUGAAUAUAGUUUAACCAAAACAUUAGUCUGUGGCGCUAAUAAUGGAAGUUAAAAUCUCCCUAUUAACC
rnacentral:tRNA from 1 species